AUUGAACGCUGGCGGCAGGCCUAACACAUGCAAGUCGAGCGGAUGAAGGGAGCUUGCUCCUGGAUUCAGCGGCGGACGGGUGAGUAAUGCCUAGGAAUCUGCCUGGUAGUGGGGGAUAACGUCCGGAAACGGGCGCUAAUACCGCCUACGUCCUGAGGGAGAAAGUGGGGGAUCUUCGGACCUCACGCUCUCAGAUGAGCCUAGGUCGGAUUAGCUAGUUGGUGGGGUAAAGGCCUACCAAGGCGACGAUCCGUAACUGGUCUGAGAGGAUGAUCAGUCACACUGGAACUGAGACACGGUCCAGACUCCUACGGGAGGCAGCAGUGGGGAAUAUUGGACAAUGGGCGAAAGCCUGAUCCAGCCAUGCCGCGUGUGUGAAGAAGGUCUUCGGAUUGUAAAGCACUUUAAGUUGGGAGGAAGGGCAGUAAGUUAAUACCUUGCUGUUUUGACGGUACCAACAGAAUAAGCACCGGCUAACUUCGUG
rnacentral:rRNA from 1 species